CCUUAAGGAGGAGCUUCGGGCUCGUGCGCUGACCCAGAGGGUAUUGAAUGCAGACUCAGCACCCAUGACCCCACCCAAUGAGCGGGAGUCGUCAUUCCUGCCUCGUGAACCGGAGGCGGUCAGAGUCGGAAUGCUGAGUCUCACCACCGACCCGCCAUCGGCUCACGUUUCACCAGCUUCCGCGUCUUUGCCACAGUCUAGCCGCACAGCGCGGCGCACAGAGAUGACGGAAGCCAUAGACUUCGGUGAGGAGGAGCGGCAGCAGGUGUUACGGGCUUAUCGGGAGGAAGAGCUCUGAUGGAAGCCCUGGCUCCUUCUCGACGAGGAGCUCCCACCCAUCGCCCCGCCUCGGACCAGCCGCUCACCUUCACCCCCCUCGUGAGGACUUCUCUUCUCCGGCUGCUUGCCCGGCGAGGAGGUGGGCGGAGGAGGAAGAGUCGGUCCCCGCCGUUAAUACCGUCGCACUCAUGGCCGCUCCUAGGAAGAAGCGGCGUCUGCGGCGUCGUCGCUCCAUGCAGCCGCCACAGCCUCUCCAGAACGAGGCAAUACAGAGACAGAGUUUCAACCAGGAGGCUCCCUUUCCACCAGAGAUUGGCUGUAGGUUUGAGCCUGCCGUUAUUCCUGCGUCCUCUGAGGGAGAGUCUUAUCUGUCCGGCCCACAAGCUGACUGGAGACCCACAGGUGUGUUCUGCUGUAUACGUGAACCAAGACACUGCAACUGGUUCCGGGGCCUGUAAUGAAGUAAGUUCUGCCUAUGUUGCCAAGACACAGCAAGGAAAUACUGAGUAUACUUGUAUACUUCUACAACUGUGCCAUCAGCAGCGUUCUGACGUAUGGAUUUCUAGUGCGGUUCCCCAGCUGCACCAAGGCCGAUCAGCAAGCACUCCAGCGGGUGGUGAAAGAAGCUGGCAGAAUUAUGGGAACAAGUCUGCCAGAGAUUAGUAAUAUCUUCCCCACUCGCUGUCUGAGGAGGGUGCACAGUAUCCUGCGGGACCAACAUCACCCUGCGCGCCACCUUUUCCACCUGCUGCCCUCAGGGAGAAGGUACAGGUCUAUACAGGCCAGAACAUCCAGACUGGCCAACAGCCUGUAUCCACAGGCUGUGAGGCUCCUGAACUCUCUGCCCCCCUCUCACGGACAAUAACCAUAUCCAACUUCUUAAUAGCACUGAACUGGUCUGCAUUGGUGCAUCAUAUCUUUAUUCUCUUUCCCCCUCCUGCCCCCCCCCCUCUUUCUUAAAUAGAUAACUAUCAUAUCUGACAUCAUAUCUCACAGUACAAUAAUGUUGAAUGGGUUGCAUUGUUGUACUUUGUCAUGUUUCUCAGGUCUUUGUCUGAAUUUCUUAUGAACAUUACUUGUCAUGUUCUCAUGUUGUUGCUAAGGAUUGUCUUAUUGCACUGGAGUCACACUGGG
ensembl:lncRNA